UACGUAGGGGGCAAGCGUUGUCCGGAUUCAUUGGGCGUAAAGAGCGUGUAGGCGGCCAGGUAGGUCGGUUGUGAAAACUGGAGGCUCAACCUUCAGAGGUCGACCGAAACCAUCUGGCUAGAGUCCGGAAGAGGAGAAUGGAAUUCCCGGUGUAGCGGUGAAAUGCGCAGAUAUCGGGAAGAACACCUAUGGCGAAGGCAGCUCUCUGGGACGGUACUGACGCUGAGACGCGAAAGCGUGGGGAGCGAACAGG
rnacentral:rRNA from 1 species